rnacentral:rRNA from 1 species
GAUGAACGCUGGCGGCGUGCCUAAUACAUGCAAGUCGAGCGAAGCGGGGAUGGGUGAGUAAAACGUGGAUAACCCCCUAUAAGAAGGGGAUAAAUUCGGGAAAACGGAGCUAAAAAGGCAACUUAGAGAUGGAUACGCGCUGCAUUAGCUAGUUGGUAAGGUAACGGCUUACCAAGGCAACGAUGCAUAGCCGCCCUGAGAGGCUGAUCGGCCACACUGUAACUGAGACACGGUCCAGACCCCUACGUGAGGCAGCAGUAGGGAAUCUUCCGCAAUGGGCGAAAGCCUGACGGAGCAACGCCGCGUUAGUGAUGAAGGUCUUCGGAUCGUAAAACUCUGUUAUUAGUGAAGCGGUACCUAAUCAGAAAGCCACGGCUAACUACGUGCCAGCAGCCGCGGUAAUUC